UUGUAUUUGGCGACAAUAAGGCCGUGGAGACGUACGCGUUUUUUUAUAUUGGUUCAACGGGAACGUCCAUUGAAGAGAGUUUGAUCGGGGAACUAGGUCUUAAAGCGACACCGCAUCCGUUGUGCAUCAGAGGGACCGGUGAGACUGAAAAGGAUGAAAGUCGUUCAGUAAAGGUAGCAUUACAAAUAGCCAGCGUCGACAACACGAUGAGGAAAUUUACGCUUACAAAGGUACACACUCUGCAAUGCCUCUCGUUACCUUCACAAUCGUUCUCAGUAGAUGCUACGUCUAGAAAGUAUCUGGAAGGUCUAAAGUUGCGAUCUUAUUCCGACGUGAUACCGCGAAUUCUCAUCGGCAUUGAUAAUUGUCAGCUAAUGCGUCCAUUUGCGUUCGUGGAGGGAAAGAAACAGGAGCCAGCCGCCAUCAAAACCCGCUUAGGUUGGAUCGCCUUCGGACCGUAUCCCCGUGGAUCCUUGCGGCAAGACGCAAAUACUUAGGGCAAUUCCCACAUAUUCUCACAUGAACCAGACAAUCUACAAAAAAAGGUAUUUCACAACCAAUUCGCUAGGUGAGGCCAAAACGCCAGGAAACAUACCCUCAAAAACGAUGAACGAGAAUUACCGGAAGAGGUUCGAAUAAUCGAAGCGAAAGGUGGCUUCGAAAUCCGUAAUCGGAUGGAUACGUUGCAACAGGGGACCCGAACGGACAAGCGUGCGAUUUUGUCCACGGGCGCCUCGACUGGGGGUUUCUAGGAAUGUCGUGGCGCGUUAGUGAUCGCGGUGCAAAGUUCAUCGGUGCGACCGAUGUCGUCAACUCCCAGCCACUGACGAAGGCACCCAUCAAAACCUGCCCUUACGCCGAACCAUUUCUAUGGAAUUCCGAACGAAGAUCAUCCGAUGGAAGCGUUCGACGGCAGAGACGUGAUGCUGAAAAUGAAAUCGAAGGCUUUACAGGUGCUAACAGAAAACUUCCGGGUAAAGUGGGUUGCGGAUUAUAUACUCACCUUAACGCGAUGAGACAAGUGCAGCAGACUAGACAGGCGAAAACACAAACGGGGUGGGCUUAUUAGUGCGGCUAACCACAUAACAUAGAUGUUACACUUACUUACACCAUUGGUUGAGGAGGAAAAUUUUCAUAGGGAAAACCAACCAAAGCACUAAGAUAGCAGAACCGGGCAAUCACGAUGAAAACACGCGAAAACAGCCGGAUGUAUACACAUUCACACAAUGUAUGCAUACGCUGGGGGGAAGAAUGUCAAAUUAAUUUGACCCAACCGGCUUCGUAGUACCGCGCGUUUCCAGUAGGCUGCGUCACUAGCGCCAAAAUAAAAAAUAAGGGAAAAAGGGGCCGAAGCGAGGAUUAACAAAACAUCCCGGGAACAACCACAAGCGGUAAUUAAGAAAAAAAAAGCAGAGAAACGCAUUUGGAUUUGAUUUGGAAAAGGCAUUUGAAAGAUUUAAUCGUAAAUACCUUUACAAAAUCAUGAACGCUAUAGGAUUUCGAGAAUUAUCAUUGAACUUAAAACUUAAACAUCGAACUUAAAAAUACAUACCCCCGCGCCACAAAUUAUGCUUAAACGACUGGAAAACAGAAUGUCCAUAUAGUUUCGGAGCUUCAUUGGUUUGAUCACUAGAUGGCGUCCUCUCGUUAUCCCUGAGUCAAAGAGUCCAUAUAAAAAUUCAAGUUUCUGAGCUUCAGAGGUUUCCUCUCUACAUCGCGUCCUUUCGAUAUCCCAGAGACAUAAUUUCGAUGCAAAAAAAAAAAAAUGAAAGUUUCAGUGCUUCAGUGAUGCGCUCAGUAGAUGGCGCUUUUUCACUAUCGAAAAGUUAUAUGAUCGAGAUUGUUUCUCCUAUCCUCCGCACACAGGCAUAUUUGCAAGAAGCAAACCUCUUGGCGUGAAUGCUUUUUUUUUUCGUUCAUAUUGAGGUAUGCGAAUGUGGGCAUGCACGAUCAUGCACGCGCUCGCUCUUUGUUGUGCGUGCUUGCGUAAUGGGUGACUGCGCGCGUCGAUCCUUCGCACAUGUGUGUGCGUGCGAGUGUGUGCGCGAGUUUGAGCCUUUGCGUGUUUCUGCAUGUAUGUUUUUUGGUGUGUCCUUGAAACAUGUUUCCGAUCGCACACGCAUGAAAAAAAGAACUUUUUCGCAAUUCCCAUAACAACGGAGGUUUUGAGAAAGAGAUCUACAUUAUGCAUAAAUCUCUUUUAACAACGGUAGGAAGAGAUUUCUGAACACUAUCACGUUUUGUUUCGCACUAUUUGUUACGCCCGUAUCAUUCGACGUAUCGCACGGCAUCACAGAUCUAGUUGUAACGCUUCGAGUUAGCGAACGGGUGUUUCUCGAACAAAUCUACAACUUAAUCCAUAGAACAUAAAAGUAUCUCUCCCCUUCCACUCAUUUCAAAGGUUCUUGAGCAAAGUCCAAAGUUAAGAGAAAUAGAAAAGAGCAGAAAGCAAGGGGUAUCGAAAGCGUAAAAAACGGUGAAAGCAUUGUUGCGUAGCUUUUUCGCUUCUAUGACGAGCUUGUAAGCUCUUAUCUUUUUCACAAACCUGAAAGCUCAGUCUUAUAUCCCCUGCUAAAUGUGGUCAUUUUACUUCCCGUUUAGACUCAAGCUUUAGUCUAAAUGACCCCGUUCAGAAGUCGUUCAAGCAAUUUGUGGCGCUUGGGACGAACAAAUUUCGGCAGGCGGGGGCCUUCUCAAGUCUAUUUCCUUAACGGUUCGAAAUUUAUUACCGCUCAUUCCUCUUAACCCUCCCUUCGGCCCCUUUUUUUUCCUUAUUUAAAUAUUUUUGCGCUAGUGGCGCAGCCUACUGGAAACGCGCGGUACUACGAAGCCGGUUGGGUCAAAUUAAUUUGACAUUCUUCCCCCCAGCGCAUGAAUACAUUGUGUGAAUGUGUAUACAUCCGGCUGUUUUCGCGUGUUUUCAUCGUGAUUGCCCGGUUCUGCUAUCUUAGUGCUUUGGUUGGUUUUCCCUAUGAAAAUUUUCCUCCUCAACCAAUGGUUCUGCUGCACUUGUCUCAUCGCGUUAAGCAUCACGUCUCUGCCGUCGAACGCUUCCAUCGGAUGAUCUUCGUUCGGAAUUCCAUAGAAAUGGUUCGGCGUAAGGGCAGGUUUUGAUGGGUGCCUUCGUCAGUGGCUGGGAGUUGACGACAUCGGUCGCACCGAUGAACUUUGCACCGCGAUCACUAACGCGCCACGACAUUCCUAGAAACCCCCAGUCGAGGCGCCCGUGGACAAAAUCGCACGCUUGUCCGUUCGGGUCCCCUGUUGCAACGUAUCCAUCCGAUUACGGAUUUCGAAGCCACCUUUCGCUUCGAUGAUUCGAACCUCUUCCGGUAAUUCUCGUUCAUCGUUUUUUGAGGAUUGUCUGGUUCAUGUGAGAAUAUGUGGGAAUUGCCCUAAGUAUUUGCGUCUUGCCGCAAGGAUCCACGGGGAUACGGUCCGAAGGCGAUCCAACCUAAGCGGGUUUUGAUGGCGGCUGGCUCCUGUUUCUUUCCCUCCACGAACGCAAAUGGACGCAUUAGCUGACAAUUAUCGAUGCCGAUGAGAAUUCGCGGUAUCACGUCGGAAUAAGAUCGCAACUUUAGACCUUCCAGAUACUUUCUAGACGUAGCAUCUGCUGAGAACGAUUGUGAAGUCUCACCGGUCCCUCUGAUGCACAACGGAUGCGGUGUCGCUUUAAGACCCAGUUCCCCGAUCAAACUCUCUUCAAUGGACGUUCCCGUUGAACCAAUAUAAGAAACGCGUACGUCUCCACGGCCUUAUUGUCGCCAAAUACAACCACAGAUGCACCCAAUGUUCUUCAUUUGGACAGCUUUGGAACUGACUAAAGUAAAUUGUAGCCGCGCAAAGAUCGGGACGUGACGUCAAUGCAACAUACAUAAGACAACCCAUUAAUUCCCGAUAAGGUUUAUCGAUUCGCUUGUUUUCUAUGCCCUUUUCUAAAUUCAACUGACAAUCGAUCGGAGUCGCUACAGGUUUGCAUUCACUCAUAUUGAACCUCAAUAGCAAAUUUCUAAGAAAAUUUUCCUGAUUGAUAUAUAGCAGUCUCUUUUCCUUGCAUCGCUUUAUAUCCAUUCCUAGGAAAUUUUUAACUUCUCCGCUAUCGGUCAUUUUGAAUCUUUCAGAAAAAAUAUUCUUUACGGCUUUGAUUGAUUCUAGAUUUUCUCCAACAAUGAGUAAAUCAUCAACAUACAAGAUUAUGAAUAUUCUUUUUGUAUCAUUUCCUCUUGUAUACAGGCAAGGAUCGUUGUCACUAGGCAAGAAAUUUAAACUUUGAACAAAUUCAUUGAAUUUUCUAUUCCAAGCUCUAGAAGCCUGUUUUAGUCCGUAUAAAGAUUUGUUUAAACGACAGACAAGAUCUCUUCCCAAAUCAAAACCUUCUGGUUGUUCCAUGUAAAUUUCCUCGUUUAUUUCGCCAUUCAGAAACGCUGUACAUACAUCCAUUUGAUGGAUAUGCCAUUUGUUAUAAUUUGCUAUUGCAAAUACCGUUCUGAUUGUAUCUAGCUUUGCGACUGGGGAAUAGGUAUCCGAAUAAUCAAAACCCUGUCUCUGAGAAAAACCUCGAGCCACUAAACGUGCUUUAUAUCGAACUAGCUCAUUUUCUCUUUUGAAUUUGAAAACCCAUUUACAUGAAAUCGGUUUUCUACCUUUUGGUAAUUCUACCAACGACCACGUGUUGUUCGUUUCAAGCGAGUUCAUUUCGUCUUGGAUCGCUACUUUCCAUUUAUCCCAAUCAGUCCUGUUUUUAGCUUCUUUUAGAGAUCGCGGAAAAUCAGAUCGACGCACCGUUGUCUCAGUUUCCACUCGUCCGCCCGAUAAAUCAUUCGCUUCUUCUUCGUUGCACGACCGAAAACUCUCGUCUGCAUUACCAGUUUCAGAUGUUACACCUGAUUCGUCAUUACGUUCAUCACGGUCAUCCUCUUCGUUGUCAGAAAUGUUCUGAAAAAUUUCAACUGGUAAUCUAUUUACUGAGUUUGAUGUCACCUUUGAUUCUGUUGUUCUCGGAUGUUCAUCAAAAAUGACGUCUCGUGCCACGACUAUUUUUCUAAGCAUCGGGUUCCAUAUACGGUAGCCACAGUGACUGUAGCCGACGAAAACUCCUUUCCAGGAUUUUUCGUCCAGUUUUCUGCGACACUCCUUCGGAAUAUGCACGUGUACCGUGGAGCCAAAUACACGCAAGUUACGGACGUCAGGUUUGGCUCCUUCCCAUAUUUCGUACGGCGUCUUCUCAUUGUUACUCGCACUGGAAGGGCUGCGAUUAGUCAGAUAUGCUACUGACUGUACUGCGGGUCCCCUAAACUUUUUACCGAUACCACUAUUAUGCAACAUGGAACGAGCCUUUUCUACUAGUGUUCGAUUCAUACGCUCACUCACGCCAUUUUGUUCCGGUGUGUACGGUACCGUCCAUUCGACUUGGAUUCCUUUCGCUGAACAAAAAAUCAAGAAAUCUUUGUCUCUAUAUUCUCCGCCGUUGUCGCAUCGGAUUCUUGAUAUUCUUUUACCGAACUUCGCACUUACCAUGGCUUCGUAUUCUUGAAAAUAUUUAUUCAUUUAACUUUUCCUUUCCAUAAGAAAAACCAUCGUGAAACGGCUCCAAUCAUCGAUAAAGGUUACAAAAUAGUUCGCACCGCUAUUGUCCUCUGGGCUGAUUGGACCACAUACGCCAGAAUGUAUUAACUCGACCACACGACUUGAUCGUUUUUCUUCUCGCGAAUUGAAAGACUUUCGAGUUUGCUUUCCUUUGUUACAGGCUUCACACACAAUAUUAUCAUUCCCGAGGCUUCUUUUAUCCGACACUUCCAAACCGCGAACCAUAUUGCUUUUCAAUAGUUUUUCCAAAUUUUUAGCACUCAGAUGGCCAUACCGAUAAUGCCAUAGUUCCAGGUUUCGUGGAAUCUGUCCGCAAGAAUAAUACGCCUCAUGUGUGUUCGCAUCGUUGAAAUUCAACCAAUACAAUUUCCCGCACAAUUCACCUUUCACUAUCUGUUUUCCACGUUUAUUCAAUAUUUUAACACACUCGUUAUCGAAUACCACUUCAAAUCCAGCAUUUGUUAUCUUCCGUAUGGAUAACAAAUUUGUAGGAGCUUCCGGUACAUACAAAACGUUCUUAAGUGUAACUGGAAUUUUGUCAUUACCCACACUUUCAAACACUAUAUCCCCUUCAUAAUAAGCGGUAAUAAAUUGGUUCUCUUUGGCGACGGAAAUUUGAACAUGCUUGUUCAAUUCCCUCAACACACUGAACACGUUUUUAUUAUUCGAUAUGUGUUCCGAAGAACCAGAGUCAACUACCCACGUUCCACCAGCAUUCAAGGGAAACCUUUCAUUGUUUAGAAAGCAUGCACCACGCGUAUUGUCAUCAUCACCAAGAUAAGCGUUGGACUUCUUAGGAAACUUCUUUUUCAUUUUGUUCCUUUCUGGGCACAUAUUCGCCUUAUGUCCGUCCUUCUUACACGCGUAACAUUUUACCACUCUUUGCUGUUGAGGUUUACGCUGCCAUCCUUUUGCACUGGAAAAAGCAGCUGGUUCCGAUUUUGAAAUGUUCACCGAAUUGUUUUGCUGUUUCACUUCUUCGUCCAAAAGUCGACUUUUUACGAAUUCUAUAGUCAAACUACUCUCCGACAUUGUUACCAGCGCCGUAACGAGCGUAGCAUAAGACAAGUUCAACGUAAGAAGGAGAUGAAAGAUCACAUCGUCAUUAUCCAUUCUACCUCCGGUCGCCCGGUAAUCGCGCAUUAAACUAUCAAAUACCAGAAAAUGCUCUCGUAGAGGACCACUUUCGUGUUUCAAAGCUAGGAGCUUUUUCUUUUCGAGGAUAAGCUUUUUCUCUCGUAUAUGUUCAAAAGUGUGUCCCACAUUUCCUUUGGAGUUAGUUUGUCACGCACAUAUUCUAAUUGAGAGUCCGCAAUACGAGAAAUCAACAAAAGCUUGCAUUUCUUAUCACUCUUGCUAAGCUGUUCUCCUUCUUUUCUUUCCUUUGUAAGGCAGUCCAUAAGUCCUCUUUCCUCAAGCAGAAUCAUCAUUUGAUAUUUCCAGGAGGCAAAGUUAGUGCCGUCCAUCAUCGGCAACAACAUCACUUUUUCUUCCUCCAUUUCAAAACCAGUUUUCACUGCACUACCGUUAAGCAAACACUUCACAAUAGAAGCCGGUUUUCUAUAUUCGCAGUACUGAUUUCUUCGGGUCUGGGCCCAUAACCUAUUGAGCAGAGUGCAGAAACAGCGUCUAGCUUCGGUGGCUGGCAGAACUCAACUGAACUUUUAUUCUAGCUCAAGGUAUUUACAGGACGGGUGUAUACAUACAGAUUUAUAGUAAUGGAUUAUAGUACACAGGGUUGAAUUGAUAUCUCAACAACAUUUAAAAAUGUGCUUGCCAUCGUUCAGUUCCACUAGAAGAGAGGUUCAACAUUUGGACCAUCUAAAGCUUUUCCGUCGUCAAAAGCAAUUUGGAAGCACCCGUAAGGACCUUUAAAUUUCUGCUCUUGUUGGUUUUCGUGGUAUUUCCGAAAAAUCCAUCUUGAAGGUUUUGUCACUUCCCGACAUUUUCCUCAAGACAAGCACUGCCCACAAAGACUAACUGUUAGUUUUUGGAAAGCACGUUUGGUUUUUUGUCGUUUCUCUCGACCCUGAUAUACAGUCAUUUACUGUACUAUACGAGCACCUGUUGUUUUUGAAUAAAAUAAGAACAGAAUUGGUCUUAUUUUACAAUAAUAUUUACAUUAAUAGGUCGCUAUGAACAUCCUGACGGGUAUCCUUCUAUUUAGUGUUUACGCUGUAUUUUUCUACUGAAUUUAAUUAAUUUGAAGAAAAUAAGUCAUAUUUUUAUGAAGACCAGCUGGUAGAGGAAGGUCACUUAAGCUGCCUUCAUGAUAGGAAUCAUCCCAUACAUUAUUUGAAUCUACUUAAUCUAUCUUACGUACCUGUCGUGAUUGCCGCCUGCAAUUACGCUUUUAUUCAUCUGAAACAUUUUAGCACUUUUUUAAAUAUAUAUAUUUAUUUGUGUUUGUUUUGCUCGCAUUUACGUUCGAAGCACCGUUCUCUUCAACGUCUGUCCAAAAACUGCCAACUUUUUGCUUUCUUUUCUCUCUUGUCUGCGUUCUUUCUCUGUUUUCUCUUGUCUGCGUUCUUUCUCUGUUCUCUCCUGUUUCGCCGAGAUUCUCCUAACUCUCUUGAAACAAGAACGUCCGUACUUCUAGUAGGCUUUUUAUUUGCCUUUAUUUUAUCCCUACUCUUAUUUGCCCUUUUAGGUUGGUAACGUCCUUCUUUAUAUAUUUUUAAUCUACUCCUAAUUAUUCUAUUCUCUACAUUUUUUUUUUUAUUAAACUACACUUCUAAUCUCUACAGUUUGUUCUAUUCUUCUUCUUCUUCUUCUUCGCUAUAUGAGAGAGGAAUACAUAUCCUCCUAUGUUUAGUGGCAGAACCAUCUCUACAUAAUCAGAGGUUUGCCUCUCUCUUGUUUGUCUUUGACUUCCCUGAGUCAUAUCGACGUAUUAAUAUUACGAUUAAUUCGGAAUUUGGGUUUGCGUUUUGUUUUUUGUUGUUGUUUCUCUAGAAUUCGAUCUUGUUUUGCUUUACGUACUUCGCUAUUUGUUUGAUCAUCGUUCCAUCCCUAUCAUUCCAGUGUGCCAUAAAAUCUUCAGUAGUUGAACCUAGCGGUGGGUCGAAUCUUUGACAUUCGAAUAUUAAAUGUGUAGCUGUUUCUGGUACAUUACACACAUUGCAGUUUGGGUUAUCAGAUAGUUUCAUUACAUGUAACCAAUAUUUUGCUAAAUCAUGGCCUGUUAAGAUUCUAUUGCCCCUCCUUAUUUCGUUUGCAGUUAAGUCGAUUUAAUGAUGCCACGGUUUACUUGUAAAUUCUUGUUGAUAUUGUUUGAAUUUUUUACCUUUUUCUUCGCAUUGUUCUUUGUACCACUUUUUUGUGUCUUCUAGCAUUUUGUUUUUUGCUACUAUUAAGGUAUCUUCUAAUCUUAAACUUAUUUUUUAUGCGAGUUUCUGAUUUAAUGCCUUCUUUGGCUAGUUCAUCGGCUUUUUCGUUACCUGGGAUACCCACAUGUCCAGGGAUCCAUCUGAUUUCUGCUUUAGUUUGCUUACAGUACUUUAAUAUGUUGUGCAGUGGUUUUUCUAUGUGUGAGUCUUUUUGUGCUCUUGUGAUAAUUUGGCAUGCUGCCUGACUGUCUGUAUAUAGUAUUGGAUUUUUUAUUUUUGUGUCGUGAGCUAUUUUAAGGGCUUUUUCUAUUGCUGAUAAUUCGAUAGAUGUUGUUGAAGUUAAAUUUUCUAAACGAUAUUUGUAGGUGUGAGUCUUGUCGAGAGAUGUGAUGAAAAUUCCUAUGCCUGCUCCUUCUACCGAUCUACUACCGUCUGUGAAGAUUAUUGUGUUUGUUUUUUGGGCCUGCUCGAUUUCGUUUAUAUAUUCUACUUUCAUGAUUUUUUGAUCGUGAGGAUUCUUUUUUGACAGCCUCUGAUCGAGUUUAGUGCGUAUUUUUAUCUCCUCCUGUACUUUGUUUAAGGUUAUAUCAGCCAUUUGUUUUAUGGUCUCUUUGUUUUCCGUGUAUAAUAUUUCUAGGUAGUUUUUCUUCCGUUUUUUUCUGGUGCGAUUCCUCUCAAAUUGUUUUUUAUGUAUGGGUGAAUAUAGGAUUGUUUUAAAGAGCUCUUUCGUAGCUAGGUAUUUAGUUCUGUAGCCUAGGGGUAUUUCUGCAUUUAUGGCGUAAAGUGUGUUGAUCGGGGUAGUUUUUGUGCAACCUGAUACCUUUCUGAUAGAUUGUGCGACUAUUGGGUUCAUUGUGUUCAAAUGUUGUUUUUUACCAUUUCCUAGAAUGGAUGCUCCAUACUCGAGUGUUCUUUUUACUAUUGUUCUAUGUACCGCGAUCGUUUUCUUUGGGUUAAGAUUAUUUUUGAAGUUGCAAAUGUGUUUCAUUACAUUAAAUUUGGUGCGGGCUUUGUCUUUUUGUACUUCUAUUUCUUUACGGAAUGUUAGCCUACUGUCCAUCCAUAUGCCUAAAUAUUUGUAUGUCUCUACCCUUUCAAUAAUUUUUUCCUCUAUUCCAAUCUG